UACGAAGGGGGGCUAGCGUUGUUCGGAAUUACUGGGCGUAAAGCGCACGUAGGCGGGUUGUUAAGUCAGGGGUGAAAUCCUGGAGCUCAACUCCAGAACUGCCUUUGAUACUGGCAACCUAGAGACUGGAAGAGGUUAGUGGAAUUCCCAGUGUAGAGGUGAAAUUCGUAGAUAUUGGGAAGAACACCAGUGGCGAAGGCGGCUCACUGGUCCGGUACUGACGCUGAGGUGCGAAAGCGUGGGGGAGCAAACAGG
rnacentral:rRNA from 1 species